rnacentral:rRNA from 1 species
UACGGGGGGGGCAAGCGUUGUUCGGAAUUACUGGGCGUAAAGGGCUCGUAGGUGGCCAACUAAGUCAGACGUGAAAUCCCUCAGCUUAACUGGGGAACUGCGUCUGAGACUGGAUGGCUCGAGUGCAGGAGAGGAAUGCGGAAUUCCAGGUGUAGCGGUGAAAUGCGUAGAUAUCUGGAGGAACACCGGUGGCGAAGGCGGCAUUCUGGACUGCAACUGACACUGAGAGACGAAAGCCAGGGGAGCAAACGGG